rnacentral:rRNA from 1 species
UACAGAGGGUGCGAGCGUUAAUCGGAAUUACUGGGCGUAAAGCGCGCGUAGGCGGCUUUGCAAGUCGGGUGUGAAAUCCCCAGGCUUAACCUGGGAACUGCAUUCGAGACUGCAUUGCUAGAGUAUGGGAGAGGGAAGUGGAAUUUCCGGUGUAGCGGUGAAAUGCGUAGAUAUCAGGAGGAACACCGGUGGCGAAGGCGGGUCUCUGGGCCGAUACUGACGCUGAGGAGCGAAGGCGUGGGGAGCGAACAGG